ACGGGUGAGUAACACGCGGGCAACCUGCCCUUGAGACUGGGAUAACUUCGGGAAACCGGAGCUAAUACCGGAUAAUAUAAGGAACCUCCUGGUUCCUUGUUGAAAGAUGGUUUCGGCUAUCACUUAAGGAUGGGCCCGCGGCGCAUUAGCUAGUUGGUGAGGUAACGGCUCACCAAGGCGACGAUGCGUAGCCGACCUGAGAGGGUGAUCGGCCACACUGGGACUGAGACACGGCCCAGACUCCUACGGGAGGCAGCAGUAGGGAAUCUUCCACAAUGGACGAAAGUCUGAUGGAGCAACGCCGCGUGAGUGAUGAAGGCCUUCGGGUCGUAAAGCUCUGUUGUUAGGGAAGAACAAGUGCGAGAGUAACUGCUCGCACCUUGACGGUACCUAACCAGAAAGCCACGGCUAACUACGUGCCAGCAGCCGCGGUAAUACGUAGGUGGCAAGCGUUAUCCGGAAUUAUUGGGCGUAAAGCGCGCGCAGGUGGUUUCUUAAGUCUGAUGUGAAAGCCCACGGCUCAACCGUGGAGGGUCAUUGGAAACUGGGGAACUUGAGUGCAGAAGAGGAAAGUGGAAUUCC
rnacentral:rRNA from 1 species